rnacentral:rRNA from 1 species
AACGAACGCUGGCGGCAUGCCUAACACAUGCAAGUCGAACGAGACCUUCGGGUCUAGUGGCGCACGGGUGCGUAACGCGUGGGAACCUGCCCUUAGGUUCGGAAUAACUCCCCGAAAGGGGUGCUAAUACCGGAUAAUGUCUUCGGACCAAAGAUUUAUCGCCUUUGGAUGGGCCCGCGUUGGAUUAGCUAGUUGGUAGGGUAAAAGCCUACUAAGGCGACGAUCCAUAGCUGGUCUGAGAGGAUGAUCAGCCACACUGGGACUGAGACACGGCCCAGACUCCUACGGGAGGCAGCAGUGGGGAAUAUUGGACAAUGGGCGAAAGCCUGAUCCAGCAAUGCCGCGUGAGUGAUGAAGGCCUUAGGGUUGUAAAGCUCUUUUACCCGGGAUGAUAAUGACAGUACCGGGAGAAUAAGCUCCGGCUAACUCCGU